rnacentral:rRNA from 1 species
UACGUAGGUGGCAAGCGUUGUCCGGAGUUAUUGGGCGUAAAGCGCGCGCAGGCGGUGCGGUAAGUCUCUGGUGAAAGCGCUCGGCUUAACUGGGCGAGGGCCGGGGAGACUGCCACGCUGGAGGGGAGCAGAGGCGAGUGGAAUUCCGGGUGUAGUGGUGAAAUGCGUAGAGAUCCGGAGGAACACCAGUGGCGAAGGCGGCUCGCUGGGCGAUACCUGACGCUGAGGCGCGAAAGCGUGGGGAGCGAACCGG